GCCAGUGUGGCCUAGUGGUUAGAGUGCUGGACUAGGUCCCAGGAGAGCAGGGUUCAAAUCCCUGCUCAGCCA